UUCAAACUCAGCGAUCCACCUGCCUGAGUGCUGGGAUUAAAGUGUGUGCAUGUUCAUGAAUGCAGAGGUGCGUGCCGCACAGUGGGGGCCAGAGAACACUGUGUGAGUCAGCUCUUUCCUACCAGCGAGCAUCUCAACUCUUGCUCACGCUCCCUACCACAGUGCUCUGCCUCCCCAUUGCCCAGGAAGGACAGCCAAGUGGCCACUGACUGGCACCUCGGAAAUCUUGACCCAAACCACAAUCUUCUCAGAGAGCAAGGGCCUUAGGGGAGAUCCUUAGGUCACCUGGAGACCAUCCUUGAAAGACGUUGUGGGACUACAUUCCUUCCUCUCAGCUUCUCAGCUAGAAAUGUGGCCGUCCCCUUCCACGAACGUGCCAACCACUGCAGAAGGUGUGAGUAUUCAAUAUUGCAGAACUAUGCAUUUGAAACUGGUCAAAGGCCGGGUAACCUGGCUUUCAGUUCUUUGGGAACAUACUCAAAAGUGGAAUUGUGGGAGCAGAGGGCCACUCUGUGAAAGUUACAGAAGAACUUCCUGCCAUCU